UACGAGAGGACCGGAGUGGACGAACCUCUGGUGUUCGGGUUGUGACGCCAGUCGCAUUGCCCGGUAGCUAUGUUCGGACAGGAUAACCGCUGAAAGCAUCUAAGCGGGAAGCCCCUUCCAAGAUGAGAUCUCCCUGGACCCUCGAGGUCCCUGAAGAGCCGUUCAAGACCAGGACGUUGAUAGGUCGGGUGUGUAAGCGCUGCGAGGCGUUGAGCUAACCGAUACUAAUUGCUCGUGCGGCUUG
rnacentral:rRNA from 1 species